rnacentral:rRNA from 1 species
GACGAACGCUGGCGGCGUGCUUAACACAUGCAAGUGGUGCGACGAACCAGGGCUUGCCCUGGGGCCAAGCCGCGAACGGGUGAGUAACACGUGGGUAAUCUGCCCCGAUGAUUGGGACAACCCGAGGAAACUCGGGCUAAUACCGGAUGAUGUGCACACACGCAAGUGUGUUCACCAAAGGAAGCUUCGGCCUCCGCAUCGGGAGGAGCCCGCGGCCCAUUAGCUUGUUGGUGGGGUAAAGGCCCACCAAGGCGACGAUGGGUAGCUGGUCUGAGAGGACGAUCAGCCACACUGGGACUGAGACACGGCCCAGACUCCUACGGGAGGCAGCAGUGGGGAAUCUUGCGCAAUGCGCGAAAGCGUGACGCAGCAACGCCGCGUGAGGGAAGACGGCCUUCGGGUUGUAAACCUCUUUCAGGAGGGACGAAGGUUCACCGGUGAACAGCCGUGUGGAUUGACGGUACCUCCAGAAGAAGCCCCGGCUAACUACGUGCCAGCCGCCGCCGUA